rnacentral:rRNA from 1 species
UAAGGAAUAUUGGUCAAUGGACGCAAGUCUGAACCAGCCAUGCCGCGUGUGUGAAGAAGGCCUUCGGGUUGUAAAGCACUUUUAUCUGGAGCGAAAUCUGCAGGGCUAAUACCCAUGCAGUCUGACGGUACCAGAGGAAUAAGCACCGGCUAACUUCGUGCCAGCAGCCGCGGUAAUACGAAGGGUGCAAGCGUUACUCGGAAUUACUGGGCGUAAAGCGUGAGUAGGUGGUUUCUUAAGUCUGCUGUGAAAGCCCCGGGCUCAACCUGGGAAUUGCAGUGGAUACUGGGGAGCUAGAGUGCGGUAGAGGGUAGUGGAAUUCCCGGUGUAGCAGUGAAAUGCGUAGAGAUCGGGAGGAACACCAGUGGCGAAGGCGACUAUCUGGACCAGCACUGACACUGAGGCACGAAAGCGGGGGGAGCAAACA